AGGACGGUUACUAAAGUCACUAACGCCUGCAGGGCGGUUACUAAGGUCACUAACGUCUGCAGGGCGGUUACUAAGGUCACUAACGUCUGCAGGACGGUUACUAAGGUCACUAACGUCUGCAGGACGGUUACUAAGGUCACUAACGUCUGCAGGACAGUUACUAAAGUCACUAACGUCUGCAGGACGGUUACUAAGGUUACCCAUUCUUUCUCUC